UGCAAGUCGAACGAUGAAGCCUAGCUUGCUAGGUGGAUUAGUGGCGAACGGGUGAGUAACACGUGAGCAACCUGCCCCGAACUUUGGGAUAAGCGCUGGAAACGGCGUCUAAUACCGAAUACGCACCAUGGCGGCAUCGUCAAUGGUGGGAAAGAUUUUUCGGUUCGGGAGGGGCUCGCGGCCUAUCAGCUUGUUGGUGAGGUAAUGGCUCACCAAGGCGUCGACGGGUAGCCGGCCUGAGAGGGUGACCGGCCACACUGGGACUGAGACACGGCCCAGACUCCUACGGGAGGCAGCAGUGGGGAAUAUUGCACAAUGGGCGCAAGCCUGAUGCAGCAACGCCGCGUGAGGGAUGACGGCCUUCGGGUUGUAAACCUCUUUUAGUAGGGAAGAAGCGAAAGUGACGGUACCUGCAGAAAAAGCACCGGCUAACUACGUGCCAGCAGCCGCGGUAAUACGUAGGGUGCAAGCGUUAUCCGGAAUUAUUGGGCGUAAAGAGCUCGUAGGCGGUUUGUCGCGUCUGCUGUGAAAACUAGAGGCUCAACUUCUAGCUUGCAGUGGGUACGGGCAGACUAGAGUGCGGUAGGGGAGAUUGGAAUUCCUGGUGUAGCGGUGGAAUGCGCAGAUAUCAGGAGGAACACCGAUGGCGAAGGCAGAUCUCUGGGCCGUAACUGACGCUGAGGAGCGAAAGAGUGGGGAGCAAACAGGCUUAGAUACCCUGGUAGUCCACUCCGUAAACGUUGGGAACUAGUUGUGGGGGCCUUUCUACGGUCUCCGUGACGCAGCUAACGCAUUAAGUUCCCCGCCUGGGGAGUACGGCCGCAAGGCUAAAACUCAAAGGAAUUGACGGGGACCCGCACAAGCGGCGGAGCAUGCGGAUUAAUUCGAUGCAACGCGAAGAACCUUACCAAGGCUUGACAUAUACCGGAAACGGCUGGAAACAGUC
rnacentral:rRNA from 1 species